rnacentral:lncRNA from 10 species
GUUUUAGUACAUGUACUGCCGAAGCGAGCACUUGAAUAUUUUUUGAGCACCCGGUAUGUGCCAAGGGUAGAGCAGAAAGUCUCUUCUCCCAUGGGUCUUAUAUUCUAGUCAGGCGAGACUUACUACAAACAAACAUAGAGCCAUUGAACAUAUCAGGUGGUAAAAGGUGCCACGAAGGAAAAUGAAAUAGGGGAAAGGUACACUCAGCAUGUCCAGGAAAGACUGGUCUGACAGGAUGCUCUCUGAGGAGAGCCUUGGAAGCAGUGAAGGGGAAGCCAGAUGGCUACCCAUCAAAUAAGAGAACCCAUUGCAGAACCAGAAGGGACAUCAUCCAAGCUGUCUGAAAUCCCGGUUGGUACUCCAGGCUUCAACAACUGCAGCACAAUGAGAGACAGCAAAGAACAUCCUGGCCUUUGACAACCCCCUGUCUUCUAACAUACUGAGGUUAAUCAGACCGAGGACAAUUUGGAAGGGGCUCUCUGCCACAACUUGGGGAGUGGAGACAGGACGGGGGAGGAGCCAAGAUGACCGAAUAGGAACAGCUUCGGUCCACAGCUCCCAGCGUGAGCGAUGCAGAAGACGGGUGAUUUCUGCAUUUCCAACUGAGGGACAUGGAUGAAACUGGAAACCAUCAUUCUCAGCAAACUAUUGCAAGGACAGAAAACCGAACACCCCAUGUUCUCACUCAUAGGUGGGAAUUGAACAAUGAGAACACAUGGACACAGGAAGGGGAACAUCACACACCGGGGACUGUUGUGGGGUGUGGGGAGGGGGGAGGGAUAGCAUUAGGAUAUAUACCUAAUGCUAAGUGACGAGUUAAUGGGUACAGCACACCAACAUGGCACAUGUGUAUAUAUGUAACAAACCUGCAUGUUGUGCACAUGUACCCUAAAACUUAAAGUAUAAUAAUUAAAAAAAAAAAAAGACAGGACGAUAAUACACAUUUGGUGAUACAAUUAAGAAACAUGAUAUUGGAAAGUUGCUGACCAAGUGCCACCUAGCAUUCCUUCUCUUGUACUAGCCACAUGCCCACUCCUCAUGGCUACUGCUAGCCUCAUCUAAGAACUGGGGACCCAGCCUGGCAGGAUAAGUGUGGCUCCAUGCUUUAAGCCAGAGAAUUUAGGAGACUAUGAUCUGUUGCUGUGUCAAUCUGAAAGCUGAGGGAUCUGAAGGGUACGUGGUACCCAUUCUCUGACUCUCACUCCCAAAAGUCCUUUUCUCCCUGGGUCAACAUACGGUUGGUGCCCAAGGCCCUUCCUAGGAAUUGGAAGCCAACAGUGACACAAAGCACUUAGGAGGCACACAACCACAAAUGUGUGAGGUUUGCCUUCCCAUAUUUUCUGGACCCAUGUUCAAGCCUGGAACUCUCUAGUUCAUAAAGGGUUUUACUCUUGCAGGAGUCAGCAAACUAUGGCCUGUGGGUGGAGGGCCAGAUGGGGCCAUGCUCAUUCAUUUACAUACUGUCUAAUGGUUGCUCAAAAAUCACAGAGUUGAGUAACUAAGACAGACUGGAAGGCCCACACAGGCAAAAAAUGUACUAUCCGGACAUCCACAUAAACAGUUUGCAGGCCACUGAUUUAGAGUAAGACCAGUUCUCCUGGGGGCAAUGGAUUGUCUUUCUUUGCUUUCAGCCUGACCAAUGCCCGUGGGUAGGGAUGGAGAGGGAGCCCAUCUCUCUAGUUGAUUCUGAUGAGAAGAACCAGGGUGACCCACCUGGAAUGUGAGCCUCUGAUCUUCCAGGCAUCUGGCAUGCCCAUUUCUUCCACAGAGCAGGAUAGAAGCUCCUCCCAGCAGGGGGUCUUGACUAUUUGAGACCACUGUAAAAGAAAAGUAAGAACAAGUGAUUCACGUUUGUGUUUCCUGUAAAAAGAACAUGGUUGUCAGUGCUAUUAACCUGGUUACCACUGACUUUGACGCAGAUACAGCCGGUUCAUGUUUCAGAACUUCAUGAAACAGGCCUGUGCCUUCAAUCAGAGGCAGCCCAAAAGACAAAAUUGCCAACACUUUCUAUUUGCAGUGGCCCAGGAAUUAUCAAAUAACCUUAGUUCCUAUUAAACUCCUGCCUAUUUACCAUUGCCUAAACCUGGAGGCAAAAUCUAAAUCCAAACCAUCACAGGUAAUCUCCAAUCUCACAUACUUUUCCAAAAGAUUCAUGUGUUAGGAAAGGAUGAUUGAUGGCUCAAAAGUCACCAG